GGGCCCGCACAAGCGGUGGAGUAUGUGGUUUAAUUCGAUGCAACGCGAAGAACCUUACCAGGGUUUGACAUCCUGCGAAUCUCUUGGAAACGAGAGAGUGCCUUCGGGAACGCAGUGACAGGUGGUGCAUGGCUGUCGUCAGCUCGUGUCGUGAGAUGUUGGGUUAAGUCCCGCAACGAGCGCAACCCACGUCUUUAGUUGCCAGCAUUUAGUUGGGCACUCUAGAGAGACUGCCGGUGAUAAACCGGAGGAAGGUGGGGAUGACGUCAAGUCCUCAUGGCCCUUACGUGUUGGGCUACACACGUGCUACAAUGGUAUCUACAACAGGAAGCAAAACGGCGACGUUUAGCAAAUCCUUAAAAGAUACCUCAGUUCGGAUUGCACUCUGCAACUCGAGUGCAUGAAGCUGGAAUUACUAGUAAUCG
rnacentral:rRNA from 1 species